UUGAAGCCCGAGGGUGUGCACUGCAAUGGAAAGGAAGAAGUGGAGAAACAAUAGAGAAUUUGGAAUCAUUUCUUCUGGUAUCUAUGGCCUCUGCUUCUGCUGGGCUUUAGAGUUUCGAUUCGAAGAGUCGCUUGCCUUUUCAUUUUUGUUUUCCUCUUUAUUACCCAACUUUUCUCAAAAUUGUAAUGGCGGGGAGUGAUCUUAGU